AUGGAGGGGAUGCUGAAUGAUUUGAAGUUGUCAGAGGCAGAAAAGAAAAGUGUCAAAAUUGGAAGAAGGCAGAUCUGCUCCUCAACUGUAAGCAAACUACAGACUAUAGGUAAUAUUUUCUCAGAGAGGCCAGCGAAAGAAGAGUUUGUGGGAAGAACAUUAGGAAAUUUGUGGUGCCCUUUUGCUGAACUUGAUUGCAAAGAUCUUGGUAGAAAUCGUUUUCUGUUUACCUUUCCUGAUGAGACUAGCAAGAAGAAAGCUUUGGAUGGUGGACCGUGGAGGUUUAAUAAAGAUUUGAUAGUGAUGGAAAAAUUUGUGGCCAGUAAAACAAUAGAUGAAUAUGAGUUUAAAUGGAUCCCUAUAUGGGUCAGAGCUUAUGGCAUCCCCACGGGGAUGAUGAGUUCAGAAACGGGAGAUUUAGUCGGAGAGAGAAUAGGAGAAGUACUUGAUAUUGAUGUGGAUUGGGACGGAACAGCGAUGGGCCAGUUUAUGAGAAUCAAAGUACGAAUGGAUAUUACAAUGCCAAUAACAAGAUUCAUCACUUUGGAAAUUGAAUAUGACGAGGAAGAACAGGAGGCCAUGUGUGAGGAGUUGAUGAGUAAUGCAGAGAACAGAGAGAAGAAAAAGUGGAGAAGGUUGUUGAUUUCAAAUAUGAGUAUCUGCCUGAUUUUUGCUAUUGUUGCGGCAUCAUUGGGCACACAGAAAAAUCAUGCCUAUCUAGAGCCAGAAGAGAGGGAGCUAGACAGUAUGGGCCGGAUCUGCGGCCAAUUAUCUAUAAAGGAGGCUCUAGUGAAGAGAGGAGUAGAAGCUCAAGUGAUAAGGAAAAUUUCUGGUUAA
rnacentral:rRNA from 1 species